GUCCGCGCGCGCGGGGCGGCCGCGGCGGUGAGCCUGCGCGUCAGGGCCGCCGGCCUCUCCUUGGCUGUUGGAGGUGAUAGGGGUCGAGGGGAGGGAAAAAGGGGCUGGCGUCAGCCGCCCCUGUGAGGUGGCCGUAGCGUGGACGAGUAAGAAGGGUUGAGUAAAGUGGACAAACACCUGGUUAGGAGAAGAGGGCAGGCCCGCAGCCGCCCUCCGGAGGAGGACUCGGGGCCUCGCGGGCGCCGGAGGAGGUUCCUGGGCCUCGGAGGGCCGCCCCGGCGCGCCGCCCCGGCGCGAGCGGGCGCGGGCGGGGGAGGGGAAGUGAGAGGUUGUUUAUGACCGGGGACUAAUCUCCUCCGCGAGUCCCAGCGCUCCCUCUGGGGAGUGCGGUUGAGGGGCUGUCCUCGCACGGAGCCUCGCUCGGCCUCGGGGGAGCCACGAGAGGUGGGAGUUGGACCCGCAGCGGGCCAGGAGCCCUGUCAUUGGAGGACCCGCCAAAAAGGAAGCAAACCCUCUUUUUCUUUAUCCAACCCCAAAUAGCUAGGGCCUAGGGGGAAGACUCACAUAUCGAUAAAUGGUUUGUUGCCCGUUUUAUUCUCUGGGAAAUACAACUGAUCUUACCAAAGAAAUAACCUGUCUCUUGCCGUGUUUACUUAGAGCCAUAGAAUACCUGUUUCAGAGCUGAAGGGGACCUGAGCCCAUGAUAAUCCAUUACCUCGUGAGAAAGCGGAAAAACUGACUUCAGCUUGCCCAGAUGGCGCAGAGAAUGGGUUUCCCGUAACCCCGCCUGUGUCUUUCCUUCAGCCUCGUCCCAAAUGCCGUGGGAGGGAAGGCACUCUCUGUCAAGCUGCUGUCACCUUACCUGAAGUAAGGAGUCCACGCCUGCAUGUCCGAGGAAAACAGUUUUCUCAAACACAUUAGUUGAAAAACUGAAGACGCUGCCUAAAAUACAAGCUGAGUUAGAGACAGCCCUUGUAAGACUAGAAAAAGAAAUGGAAACUAAGUAACAUGAAUUAACAUAGUCCAGGGUCACAAAGCAACAUGGAACAAGAACCUGGAUCUGAAUUCAGAGGCAGAAUGCUGGAGAUAGGGUCUUGUUCUGUCGCCCAGGCUUGGGUGCAAUGGCAUGAUCACAGCUCACUGCAGCCUCGAACUCCUGGGCUCUAGUGAUUCUCUUGCCUCAGCCUCCCUUGUAGUUGGACUACAGGCCUGAGAAUCAGGAGAGUCAAUGGUAUUAGUGCUUGUCCGGAAGCCAUCAUGCUUCAAAACCAAGAAGAGCUGAUUUUCCAGUUGGAGUCUAAAGUGACUUGCUGAGGUUGGUACUAUUUAUCAUUCCCAUUUUCACUGACAAGGAAGAGAAAAGUUAAAGAACUACUUGAGAUUACCCAGCUGGCACAUGGCCAGGCGAAGAUUGGAACAAAGCCUGCGGAGCUCAGAACCUGUGCAGUUGACUGUCACAUUAUAUCACUCUUACCUCCCAGCGAUCUACAGUAAAGCCCCCACCAAGGGACUGAGGAGAGAGGGAAGGCUUCAGGAAACUUGGACUAGAGAGUACGCUGUAAAG
rnacentral:lncRNA from 10 species